CGCAGCCGCGGUAAUUCCAGCUCCAAUAGCGUAUAUUAAAGUUGUUGCAGUUAAAAAGCUCGUAGUUGAACUUCAGGCCUGGCUGGACGGUCCGCCCUCUGGGUGAGCACUGUCUGUGGUCGGGUCCUACCUUCUGGCGAAGCGGCAUGGCCUUAACCGGCCGUGGCGGGGAACCAGGACUUUUACUGUGAAAAAUUAGAGUGUUCAAAGCAGGCACGCGCUUGAAUACAUUAGCAUGGAAUAAUGGAAUAGGACAAUGGUUCUAUUUGUUGGUUUCUAGGACCGUUGUAAUGAUUAAUAGGGAUAGUUGGGGGCAUUAGUAUUCAAUUGUCAGAGGUGAAAUUCUUGGAUUUAUUGAAGACUAACUACUGCGAAAGCAUUUGCCAAGGAUGUUUUCAUUAAUCAAGAACGAA
rnacentral:rRNA from 1 species